rnacentral:rRNA from 1 species
AACGAACGCUGGCGGCAGGCUUAACACAUGCAAGUCGAACGCCCUAGCAAUAGGGAGCGGCGCACGGGUGAGUAACGCGUGGGAAUAUACCGAGAAGUGGGGAAUAACUUUGGGAAACUAAAGCUAAUACCGCAUACGCCCGAGAGGGGAAAGAUUUAUCGCUUUUCGAUUAGCCAGCGUGAGAUUAGGUAGUUGGUGGGGUAAUGGCCUACCAAGCCUACUAUCUCUAGCUGGUCUGAGAGGAUGAUCAGCCACACUGGAACUGAGACACGGUCCAGACUCCUACGGGAGGCAGCAGUGGGGAAUAUUGGACAAUGGGGGAAACCCUGAUCCAGCCAUGCCGCGUGAAUGAUGAAGGCCUUAGGGUUGUAAAGUUCUUUCGCCGAUGAAGAUAAUGACGGUAGUCGGAGAAGAAGCCCCGGCUAACUUCGUGCCAGCAGCCGCAGUAA